AUUGAACGCUGGCGGUAUGCUUAACACAUGCAAGUCGAACGGCAGCAUGGAGGAGCUUGCUCCUCUGAUGGCGAGUGGCGGACGGGUGAGUAAUAUAUAGGAAUCUACCUUAUAGACUGGGAUAACUACUCGAAAGAGUGGCUAAUACCGGAUGUGGAUUGAGGUUUAAAGCAGGGGACCUUCGGGCCUUGCGCUAUAAGAUGAGCCUAUACAAGAUUAGCUAGUUGGUGGGGUAAUGGCUUACCAAGGCGACGAUCUCUAGCUGGUUUGAGAGGAUGACCAGCCACACUGGGACUGAGACACGGCCCAGACUCCUACGGGAGGCAGCAGUGGGGAAUCUUGGACAAUGGGGGCAACCCUGAUCCAGCAAUACCGCGUGUGUGAAGAAGGCCCUAGGGUUGUAAAGCACUUUUGUUAGGGAGAAUGGUUUUUAUUGCGAAUAGCUUUAGAGACUGAUGUUACCUAAGAAU
rnacentral:rRNA from 1 species